AUGCUCUUAACCUCAGAGCAGCUCCACGGGAUUAGGAAGCUCACCAUUGAUUAUUCUCGCUGGCCAGGCAAAGCCUGGACUUUAGGAGCCGGCUAUGGAAAAGUGAGCAAAUAUGGAGAUGGAAACUCUGGGAGAAAUCCAGGGAUUUGUCCUUUCCUGCAGAAGCUCUCAGCCAGCAUUCUGACUGCCCAUUUCCAGCCAUCCAUCAUCACCUGCCAGGAACAGUUCCGAAGAUUGUGUGAUGGGCCUGAUGCCUGGAUAAUUCAUUCAUGAUACCAACAUGGAACAGGAAUGACUGCCCAAAGAAAAAUGUUUGUCUCUCCACUUUCAGAUACCCAGUGCUUGGUGUGUUACAGAUAUGCAAGAGAAAGUUAGAUUAAAGUAAAGAGGAAAGGAAAGAAGGAUGGAAGAGAAGGAGGGAGGGAGGGAAAGUAUUAUCUUUUCCUAGCCCAUUCAUUUUCCUUAUUAAAAGGGGUUU
rnacentral:lncRNA from 1 species